CUAGAGCGGCGAACGGGUGAGUAACACGUAGGUAAUCUGCCGUGCGAUUGGGGAUAGCCUGUGGAAACACAGGGUAAUACCGAAUACGACCUUCGGGGGAAAGGCGCUUCGGCGCCGUCGUACGAUGAGCCUGCGGCGCAUUAGUUAGUUGGCGGGGUAACAGCCCACCAAGGCGACGAUGCGUAGCCGACCUGAGAGGGUGAUCGGCCACACUGGGACUGAGAUACGGCCCAGACUCCUACGGGAGGCAGCAGCUAAGAAUCUUCCGCAAUGGACGAAAGUCUGACGGAGCGACGCCGCGUGGAUGAAGAAGGCUUAACGGUUGUAAAAUCCUUUUCUGCGUGAGGAAUAAGCAUCGGAGGCAAUGCCGGUGCGAUGACGGUAGCGCAGGAAUAAGCCCCGGCCAAUUACGUGCCAGCAGCCGCGGUAACACGUAUGGGGCGAGCGUUGUUCGGAAUUAUUGGGCGUAAAGGGCGCGCAGGCGGUCAUACAAGCUUGGUGUGAAAGACCACGGCUCAACGGUGGAAACGCGCUGAGAACUGUAUGACUUGAGUUUCGGAGGGGGAACUGGAAUUCCAGGUGUAGGGGUGACCUCUGUCGAUAUCUGGAAGAACAUCAGUGGCGAAGGCGAGUUCCUGGCCGACAACUGACGCUGAGGCGCGAAAGCGUGGGGAGCG
rnacentral:rRNA from 1 species